UACGUAGGAGGCGAGCGUUGUCCGGAAUUACUGGGCGUAAAGAGCGCGUAGGCGGCGCAAUACGACAGGUGUGAAAGCCCCCGGCUCAACCGGGGAGGGUCGCCUGUAACGGUUGUGCUCUGAGUGCAGGAGAGGGAUGUGGAACUCCGGGAGUAGCGGUGAAAUGCGUAGAGACCCGGAGGAACACCAGUGGCGAAGGCGGCAUCCUGGUCUGCGACUGACGCUGAGGCGCGAAAGCUAGGGGAGCGAACGGGAUUAGAUACCCCGGUAGUCCUAGCCGUAAACGAUGGACACUAGGUGUACGUGGUAUCGACCCCACGUGUGCCGGCGCUAACGCAGUAAGUGUCCCGCCUGGGGAGUACGAUCGCAAGAUUAAA
rnacentral:rRNA from 1 species